rnacentral:rRNA from 1 species
UACGGGGGGAGCAAGCGUUGUUCGGAUUUACUGUUCGUAAAGGGCGCGUAGGCGGCCACUGCAAGUCGGUUGUGAAAUCUCCGGGCUUAACCCGGAAAGGUCAACCGAUACUGCAGGGCUAGAGUGCGGAAGGGGCAACUGGAAUUCUCGGUGUAGCGGUGAAAUGCGUAGAUAUCGAGAGGAACACCUGCGGCGAAGGCGGGUUGCUGGGCCGACACUGACGCUGAUGCGCGAAAGCUAGGGGAGCGAACGGG